rnacentral:rRNA from 1 species
GAUGAACGCUAGCGGGAGGCCUAACACAUGCAAGCCGAGCGGUAUUGUUUCUUCGGAAAUGAGAGAGCGGCGUACGGGUGCGGAACACGUGUGCAACCUGCCUUUAUCUGGGGGAUAGCCUUUCGAAAGGAAGAUUAAUACUCCAUAACAUAUUGAUUGGCAUCAAUUAAUAUUGAAAGCUCCGGCGGAUAGAGAUGGGCACGCGCAAGAUUAGCUAGUUGGUGAGGUAACGGCUCACCAAGGCGAUGAUCUUUAGGGGGCCUGAGAGGGUGAUCCCCCACACUGGUACUGAGACACGGACCAGACUCCUACGGGAGGCAGCAGUGAGGAAUAUUGGUCAAUGGGUGCAAGCCUGAACCAGCCAUCCCGCGUGAAGGACGACUGCCCUAUGGGUUGUAAACUUCUUUUGUAUAGGGAUAAACCUACCCUCGUGAGGGUAGCUGAAGGUACUAUACGAAUAAGCACCGGCUAACUCCGUGCCAGCAGCCGCGGUAAUACGGAGGGUGCAAGCGUUAUCCGGAUUUAUUGGGUUUAAAGGGUCCGUAGGCGGACUUAUAAGUCAGUGGUGAAAGCCUGUCGCUUAACGAUAGAACUGCCAUUGAUACUGUAAGUCUUGAGUAUAUUUGAGGUAGCUGGAAUAAGUAGUGUAGCGGUGAAAUGCAUAGAUAUUACUUAGAACACCAAUUGCGAAGGCAGGUUACCAAGAUAUAACUGACGCUGAGGGACGAAAGCGUGGGGAGCGAACAGGAUUAGAUACCCUGGUAGUCCACGCCGUAAACGAUGCUAACUCGUUUUUGGGCUUUAGGGUUCAGAGACCAAGCGAAAGUGAUAAGUUAGCCACCUGGGGAGUACGCUCGCAAGAGUGAAACUCAAAGGAAUUGGCGGGGGCCCGCACAAGCGGUGGAUUAUGUGGUUUAAUUCGAUGAUACGCGAGGAACCUUACCAAGACUUAAAUGGGAAUUGACAGCUUUAGAAAUAGAGCUUUCUUCGGACAAUUUUCAAGGUGCUGCAUGGUUGUCGUCAGCUCGUGCCGUGAGGUGUUAGGUUAAGUCCUGCAACGAGCGCAACCCCUGUCACUAGUUGCCAUCAUUCAGUUGGGGACUCUAGUGAGACUGCCUACGCAAGUAGAGAGGAAGGUGGGGAUGACGUCAAAUCAUCACGGCCCUUACGUCUUGGGCCACACACGUAAUACAAUGGCCGGUACAGAGGGCAGCUACACAGCGAUGUGAUGCAAAUCUCGAAAGCCGGUCUCAGUUCGGAUUGGAGUCUGCAACUCGACUCUAUGAAGCUGGAAUCGCUAGUAAUCGCGCAUCAGCCAUGGCGCGGUGAAUACGUUCCCGGGCC